GGGGAUGUAGCUCAGUGGUAGAGCACAUGCUUUCCUUGUAUGAGGUCUUGGGACCAAUUCUCAGCUUCUCCU
rnacentral:tRNA from 1 species